GUCGAAACCCCGCCACUUCCUUUCGUUGCUAUGGACUACAGAGACUGUGUGCAUGUGCGGAGUGCCGUCAAGGCUCCCGUCUGUGUGGCCUGGCAGUUUAAAGUCGUCCCGGUCGGAGCGCCUGCUGCUGCUGUCACAGCUAUUAAAGAAGCCAUCAUAUGAUUUUCCUAUGUGCCAUCGUGAGUAUUAUGUCAUCAGAUCACGGUAGGUCGUUUGUUUAGUUCUGUUUAGUUCUGUUAUUCGAGCUACAUGAUCUCGUAUGCUUUCCAAAUUGAGGUUGUAACAUCUGUUGUUCUUAGGGUCCUUGAUUUUGCAUGCGUUAAGGUAGGCUGAGUGGGUGUGGUCGUUUCGGUAUAGCUCCUCCCCCUCACUCGUGGAGCCACGUUGCUGCUUUGUUUUGUUUUGCUCGCUUUUGUUUUGCUCGGUUUUGUUCAGUUUUGUUUUGUUUUGCUCGGUUUUGUUCUGUUUUGUUUUGUUCUGUUUUGUUUUGUUUUGUUUUGCUCGGUUUUGUUCUGUUUUGUUUUGUUUUGCUCUGUUUUGUUUUGUUUUGCUCGGUUUUGUUUUGCUCUGUUUUGUUUUGUUUUGCUCGGUUUUGUUUUGCUAUGCUUCGCUUCGCUUCAUGUUUGGUGUCCAGCCAGGCCUCCGUCUAAUACCCAAGUGAGUGGGAAGGUCCCUUCUUUCUUCUUUUGUUGUUGUUGUUUUAUUUGUGUUGGUUACUGUCACUAAGAUCAGUUUUCUUGAAUUAAACUGUGUUGUAACAGUCUUCAUCAGUUAUGCUGAUACUGCUAUGUGGUAGUAGUGGUUUUGGUCAGUGUUGGUAAACAUUCUAGCUGUAAUCACUCUGAGCUCGGGGUUAUCUGUGUUUGUGACAGUAAGUUUGUUUUUGUUUUUUUCUCUCUUUUUUUUUGCCUGCUUUGAGCAUAUUGUAAUUGAUAUUUCUUGUGUUUGGUUUUGUUGUAGUAAAUUUAUCCAGAAUGUGAUAUUAUUAUUUGUUAUUUUCUGUUUUGUAGCUUUGGUGCCUAUUUGACUGUGUUCUUUCUUAAUGUGAUUUUUUUGUUGUUGUUUUCUCCUUGUAGGAGCUGAGUGCUUCCUUGUGUUUCUUUUAUUUGACCAAUGCCUGACUGCGUUGGUUGCUGUUUUAUUAUUGUUAUUAUUAUUAUGAUUAUUAUAAUUAUUAUAAUUAUUGUUAUUAUUAUUAUUAUUGGCCAGUCUUUUUAACUUCAAAUAAAAGUUAUUUUUG
ensembl:lncRNA